ACGCUGGCGGCGUGCCUAACACAUGCAAGUCGAACGGAAUUUACAUGAAGCCUAGCGAUUGUAAAUUUAGUGGCGGACGGGUGAGUAACGCGUGGGUAACCUGCCUUGUACUGGGGGACAACAGAUGGAAACGACUGCUAAUACCGCAUAAGCGCACAGCUUCGCAUGAAGCAGUGUGAAAAACUCCGGUGGUACAAGAUGGACCCGCGUCUGAUUAGCUGGUUGGUGAGGUAACGGCCCACCAAGGCGACGAUCAGUAGCCGGCCUGAGAGGGUGAACGGCCACAUUGGGACUGAGACACGGCCCAAACUCCUACGGGAGGCAGCAGUGGGGAAUAUUGCACAAUGGGGGAAACCCUGAUGCAGCAACGCCGCGUGAGUGAAGAAGUAUUUCGGUAUGUAAAGCUCUAUCAGCAGGAAAGAAAAUGACGGUACCUGACUAAGAAGCCCCGGCUAACUACGUGCCAGCAGCCGCGGUAAUACGUAGGGGGCAAGCGUUAUCCGGAUUUACUGGGUGUAAAGGGAGCGUAGACGGUUUUGCAAGUCUGAAGUGAAAGCCCGGGGCUUAACCCCGGGACUGCUUUGGAAACUGUAGGACUAGAGUGCAGGAGAGGUAAGUGGAAUUCCUAGUGUAGCGGUGAAAUGCGUAGAUAUUAGGAGGAACACCAGUGGCGAAGGCGGCUUACUGGACUGUAACUGACGUUGAGGCUCGAAAGCGUGGGGAGCAAACAGGAUUAGAUACCCUGGUAGUCCACGCCGUAAACGAUGAUUACUAGGUGUUGGUGGGUACGACCCAUCGGUG
rnacentral:rRNA from 1 species